UCGAAGUAGACGUAGACGAUGGAAAACAAAAUCUUUGAGGUCAUAGUUUGUAAUUACUCGAUAUUUUUGCCUAUGGGCAUCUCUCAUCUUUAUGCUACAUUACACAAUUCGAAGGGAAGGAACCAAGGACUAAGGACCUAUAUCAAAAUCGUUAGGCAGACUUUGAAUAAUGAGUUGGGGUAAUUAUGGCAACCGCAAGAAUCAAUUGUUAUUGACAGAUGAAGGUGACCAUUACCGCAACAAACACGUAGGCCAAGGUGUUUCACGGUAAUUCAAUUAAUUGAAAUUUGAUUGAACACAGAAAACCGAACCUGUCAACUUCUUUGAGUACAUUCCAUCGCCGUUAUUUCUGUCUGCGACAGUGUCUUUGAAUGUUAAUUUGAUAGCUAACUGAUUACGCCAAUAUGUAUUAAAUUUUUUCGAAUUUACAGAUAUCUUUAUAACAUUUCAUAGGUUGCCAUUGUUAAUAUUAUCCUCAUAGAUUAUUACAGCAUUAUAAAUCAUGAGACGCUAAAAAAAACACACACAGAUUUAGUAGGGGAUAAUGGCAAGCAAUAAAAAUUGAAUUGUCUACGACAAGAAAACCAAAACAGGAACAGCAAGGACUACAAGAGCCAGCCAAGGAAAUCAAUUAAAAUCAUUUUUACAUCCUUCGACUCAUAAAGCGAGCUUGUCUUGCAGCACUUUCCACUUUAGCGUCAACAUUUUUAUAAUUUAUGGCGCCUAUAAUUGCAGCAAUUUGUGCGAGCCAAAAGGAUGACAGAGGAGGUAGUAAAAUAAUUGGACUUUUAUCAAUUCAAAUCAAAUCAGUUAAGUUGUUCAUCUGGAAAAUUGGUUUGGGCUCGGGCUAUAUUUACAUUGUCAUGCGUUCCAAAUAGUCAUCAGUUUAAAACGAAACAUUGAACAAUGUUUUACUUAUUGAAUCAUCACUGGAUAUUUUGGACGGUUAUGUUGUUAGUCUUUUUCAAAAAGAUCCAAACAAAGUUUGAAUUUACGAAUCUGAAAUGUGAGUCUCAGGAUAAACAAUUCGCUGAAUUUGAAUAUUGUUAUUUAAAAUCAGUUAAUCGAACCUACAAGUACAUGUCACUAAAAACUAUUUUACAUAAAGUGCCCGUCACUGAAUUUUCGAUUAGAGCUCAAUUUUUUAAGCGUUCUAAUGGUUAUGUUCCACUAAUGUCGAAAAUCACAUUGGAUGGUUGUAACUUAAUAUCGAAUAAUUCUCACGACCCUGUUGCCACAUUUUUUUAUGGAUUCUUGAAUGCAUAUACUACUCUGAAUCAUUCAUGUCCUGUGACUAAUAACAUUAUACUGGAAAAACUACCAAUUGAAAGUGUGGAUUACCGUCUGACAAAACUGAUCCCAUUCCCAAGAGGAUCCUAUCUCUUAAACACCACCUGGUUGGCUUAUGGUAUUCGUCGUGCUGUGGUUCAAAUAUUUGGAACACUUUCUUGAAUAUACCCAAAUCUGCAUAAUUGAAAAUGUAUUCAAAGUAUUCAUAUUGUACUUAAAUAAAGGUAAAGAGUACAUUGAUCCUUCUUGGUCAAAUUGAUGGAGAAAAUGGAAUGAAAGCCACCCAUUUUCUUGCAUGUUCAGCACUCAACCACUUGGAUAUUUUUCAAUUAACAAGAUUUAUAUUUCCCAGUCCAAAUCGUAUUAAACAAAAAAUAAGUGGCCCUAACAAGGAUAGAUAACAAAGAGAAAAAAUGGAAACUCCUGGGACUACAAAACGUUAAAAUGAAAACUAAAUAUUUACCCUGACCUUUUGUUUAAUGCAACAAAACAGUAGAGAAUUGGCGAAAAGGUCCUCCGCAUAUAUAUUUUUUUUCAAGCACAUAAAACAAAAGGAACACCAGAACAAAAACAAAAAAAUACGACGUUUAUCUAUGAGCGUUGAGCGCCUAAAUAAGACAUCAUCAGGCUGUAAAGGAGCCCCAAUAAUUACAUAUUUAUUAUGUGUACACAUAUCUGUAUGGAUGUAUUUGUGUGUUGUUGUAGGUGUUGACUGAACUGAG